rnacentral:rRNA from 1 species
GGAUAACCUGCCGAAAGGCAGACUAAUACCGCAUAGUCUUCGAUGACGGCAUCAGAUUUGAAGUAGAGAUUUAUCGGUAAUGGAUGGGGAUGCGUCUGAUUAGCUUGUUGGCGGGGUAACGGCCCACCAAGGCGACGAUCAGUAGGGGUUCUGAGAGGAAGGUCCCCCACAUUGGAACUGAGACACGGUCCAAACUCCUACGGGAGGCAGCAGUGAGGAAUAUUGGUCAAUGGACGGAAGUCUGAACCAGCCAAGUAGCGUGCAGGAUGACGGCCCUAUGGGUUGUAAACUGCUUUUGUAUGGGGAUAAAGUUAGGGACGUGUCCCUAUUUGCAGGUACCAUACGAAUAAGGACCGGCUAAUUCCGUGCCAGCAGCCGCGGUAAUACGGAAGGUCCAGGCGUUAUCCGGAUUUAUUGGGUUUAAAGGGAGCGUAGGCUGGAGAUUAAGUGUGUUGUGAAAUGUAGACGCUCAACGUCUGAAUUGCAGCGCAUACUGGUUUCCUUGAGUACGCACAACGUUGGCGGAAUUCGUCGUGUAGCGGUGAAAUGCUUAGAUAUGACGAAGAACUCCGAUUGCGAAGGCAGCUGACGGGAGCGCAACUGACGCUUAAGCUCGAAGGUGCGGGUAUCAAACAGGAUUAGAUACCCUGGUAGUCCGCACAGUAAACGAUGGAUGCCCGCUGUUGGUACCUGGUAUCAGCGGCUAAGCGAAAGCAUUAAGCAUCCCACCUGGGGAGUACGCCGGCAACGGUGAAACUCAAAGGAAUUGACGG